rnacentral:rRNA from 1 species
GGGGAAUAUUGGGCAAUGGGCGCAAGCCUGACCCAGCAACGCCGCGUGAAGGAAGAAGGCUUUCGGGUUGUAAACUUCUUUUGUCGGGGACGAGUAGAAGACGGUACCUGGCGAAUAAGCCACGGCUAACUACGUGCCAGCAGCCGCGGUAAUACGUAGGUGGCAAGCGUUGUCCGGAUUUACUGGGUGUAAAGGGCGUGUAGCCGGGAAGGCAAGUCAGAUGUGAAAUCCACGGGCUUAACUCGUGAACUGCAUUUGAAACUGUUUUUCUUGAGUAUCGGAGAGGCAAUCGGAAUUCCUAGUGUAGCGGUGAAAUGCGUAGAUAUUAGGAGGAACACCAGUGGCGAAGGCGGAUUGCUGGACGACAACUGACGGUGAGGCGCGAAAGCGUGGGGAGCAAAC